GUAGUCUCGCACAGAUGCAUAUCAAUAAGCGGAGGAAAAGAGGGCUAUUACCUACGCUUAGGAUGUUGAUCUACGCUGCGUGCUUGAUCUAUACAUGACUCUGUGCAUAUCAAUAAGCGGAGGAAAAGAAACUAACAAGGAUUCCCCUAGUAACGGCGAGUGAAGCGGGAAGAGCUCAAAUUUGAAAUCUUAAAGGGUUUCCCUUUACGAAUUGUAGUUUAAAGAAGUGUUUUCUGUUGAGGUUUUGGUAAAAGUUCUUUGGAAUAGGACAUCAUAGAGGGUGAGAAUCCCGUAUUUGACCUUUACUUUCAACUUUGUGAUACACUUUCAAAGAGUCGGAUUGUUUGGGAAUGCAGUCCAAAAUGGGUGGUAAAUUUCAUCUAAAGCUAAAUAUUGGCGAGAGACCGAUAGCGAACAAGUACCGUGAGGGAAAGGAUGAAAAGAACUUUGAAAAGAGAGUUAAACAGUACGUGAAAUUGUCAAAAGGGAAGCGUUUGACACCAGUGUUGUUUUUCUGAAAAUCAAUUAAAGAACUGUUUAUGCUAAGUUGUUUAGACUUUAUCAGCUAUCUGUUUAGUUUUGAGCUUUUCUUUAAUGCACUUUUCGAGUUAACAAGUCAACAUCAAUUUCUUUUGCUGUAAAAAAGCUUGAGGAAGGUGGCUUGAGAUUCGUCUUAAGUGUUUAUAGCCUCUUGCCUAUGCAGUCGGAGAGAUUGAGGUCUGCAGCGUAGAUCCUUCGGGGCUAAAUGCAUUUGUGCUAAGUUAUAGCAUUUUAUAGACAACUUGUUGACUAUGAUUUGUCUUGUAGCUUACUCGCUUAUGUUAUUUUACCUACGCUUAGGAUGUUGAUCUGUAGUGCGUGCGC
rnacentral:rRNA from 1 species